UACGUAGGGGGCAAGCGUUGUCCGGAUUUAUUGGGCGUAAAGAGCGUGUAGGCGGCCUGAAAGGUCAGCUGUGAAAACUCGAGGCUCAACCUCGAGACGUCGGUUGAAACCAUCUGGCUAGAGUCCGGAAGAGGAGUGUGGAAUUCCCGGUGUAGUGGUGAAAUGCGUAGAGAUCGGGAGGAACACCUGUGGCGAAGGCGGCCCCCUGGGCCGGCCCUGACACUGAGACGCGAAGGCGUGGGGAGCGAACGGG
rnacentral:rRNA from 1 species